CUACGUGCCAGCAGCCGCGGUAAUACGGAGGGUGCGAGCGUUAAUCGGAAUAACUGGGCGUAAAGGGCACGCAGGCGGCUAUUUAAGUGAGGUGUGAAAUCCCCGGGCUCAACCUGGGAACUGCGUUCUGAACUGGGUGACUAGAGUGUGUCAGAGGGAGGUAGAAUUCCACGUGUAGCAGUGAAAUGCGUAGAGAUGUGGAGGAAUACCGAUGGCGAAGGCAGCCUCCUGGGAUAACACUGACGUUCAUGCUCGAAAGCGUGGGUAGCAAACAGGAUUAGAUACCCUGGUAGUCCACGCCCUAAACGAUGUCAAUUAGCUGUUGGGCAACUUGAUUGUUCAGUAGCGUAGCUAACGCGUGAAAUUGACCGCCUGGGGAGUACGGUCGCAAGAUUAAAACUCAAAGGAAUUGACGGGGACCCGCACAAGCGGUGGAUGAUGUGGAUUAAUUCGAUGCAACGCGAAGAACCUUACCUGGUCUUGACAU
rnacentral:rRNA from 1 species